rnacentral:tRNA from 1 species
AGGUCCGUAGCUAAGUCAGGUUCAAAGCAACCGCCUUUUAAGUGGUGGAUCGUGGGUUCAAAUCCCACCGGACCUACCA